GACGAACGCUGGCGGCGUGCUUAACACAUGCAAGUCGAACGGAAAGGCCCCUUUGGGGGUACUCGAGUGGCGAACGGGUGAGUAACACGUGAGUAACCUGCCCUUGACUUCGGGAUAACUUCAGGAAACUGGGGCUAAUACCGGAUAGGAAUCCUUGCUGCAUGGUGGGGGUUGGAAAGCUUCGGCGGUUUUGGAUGGACUCGCGGCUUAUCAGCUUGUUGGUGGGGUAGUGGCUUACCAAGGCUUUGACGGGUAGCCGGCCUGGGAGGGCGACCGGCCACAGUGGGACUGAGAUACGGCCCAGACGCCGACGGGAGGCAGCAGGGGGGAAUAUUGCACAAGGGGCGGAAGCCUGAUGCAGCAACGCCGCGGGCGGGAGGACGGUCUUCGGGUUGGAAACCGAUUUCAGCAGGGGCGAAGCUUGUGGUGACGGUACCUGCAGAAGAAGCACCGGCUAACUACGUG
rnacentral:rRNA from 1 species